UGCUCUGGUUUAAAAAGACGCUCACACCGUUACUAGAACUUUUUGCCAAACCAAUCAUUCAAACCCUAUAUUUUUUUUUUUAAAGUUUUUCCUUUAUGAGUAGCAUUUGCAUACAAAUUAAAAUCUGUAAUGUCAUGAACAAGCAUAUAGAAAAGUAUGAUUAUCCAAAAUAUACAAUAAAAAUGCAGCUAUUUCUAAUUAGAAAAUGUUUGAAAUGAUGUGCCAAUGUUAUUAUAUUAUUAAAAGCUUAACUAAAUAAAUGCUUACCUUUGGAAGAGGUUUAGGGCCACGGAAAAAAAGUCAGAAUUCUGACUUUAAUCUCAAAAUUCUGAUUUUCUUUCUCAGAAUUCUGAUUUUAAUUUAAAAUAAUGCUGGUGUUAACUAAAUGUUAUGGGGUCCUACAAUUCCUUUCCAUGGUUUACCACCUCAUAAUACUUUUCACACUUUUAUCAGUGACUUAUGACUUUCCAACAAUCUGAUUCUGCUUAUAAAUUAUUAGCCUCAACUGACUAAACAACUUUUCAAUGAAAAGUUUUGAGUUGAUUCUUUCAAUUUAUUUGCAUUUCAUUGCUUACUACGUUUUCUACUGAAAUUCUCAAUUAUUCUUAUUUCUAAAAACAUCUCAGAACAUGUUCAUUAAUUCCACAUGCCGUCAUUAUUCCUGUGUUAUCCCAGUGUUUUUCUGACUACAUGCUAGCUUAGUGUUAGCUUCCCGAUCCCCUAGUGUGCAGAGGAAGCUACAAACUACUUUAGUGUGUAGCUUUCCCACACUCUAAAAAAAAUGUGUUAAAAAAGAACACAAAAAAUGUUAUUACAUUAAUAUUGUGUUAAAAUGAAUACAAUAGUAUUGAAUAUUUCAACACAUAAUUGUGUCUGUGUUUGUCAGGCAGAAUUUACUCCCUGCUGACAUAAGAUUGUGUAAUUCCUUUCAAUGAUAGUUUCCAGAAUUUUUUUUUUUCUAAAAUGGUUUUACAUUUUUUUUGUUUAGCAUUUAUAACAAUGUUUACUUCAUCUAAAAAUGCAAUUAUUAUUACUGUAUUGUGGCAGGAUUUAAUUACUUUUAUACAAUGCAGUACAAAAAUAUUUUUGUACUGCAUUGUAUAUUUACUCAUCUUCAAAGUAAUAUGCAUUAUACAUUUCGAUUAUUUACAUAAUUUUGUUUGCUAAAAAACAGAAUUCUUCAACAUUUACAAUAAAUAUAAUUAGAAAUGGCUAUGAGCUACAAAAAUUUAGCUGAUAACCUCACAUUGGCUGAUAAGCAAGUGGCAACAUCAAGGCACCAUAACUACCAAUUCAGCCACCAAAUUAAGUCUUCUGAUUGGAGGAAGGUUUUUCCGCAAUAUGGAUCAAGUUGACAAACGAGGCAAAGAUUGAAGCCACUAAUUUUGGAAUAACCACUUUGGUAUGUAUAUACCUUGUAUUUGUUUUAAUGAAUUGGUAUCAAGUUAGAUUUAUGGGAAUUUUCUUGAAUAACUAGUUGUAAAAGUAUUAUGGUAAUUUUUGUUGCUAUGACAGGGUACUCUGAAAUGUUAUGCUGGGUUUCAUGUCAAAGCUAGCUAGCAUAUUAUUAUGGCAAAGACAGGUGGUGGGUUGCCUUUGAAUUGAAAAUGGUCCUUAUUUGUGUAGUUAAUGCAAUUAUGGGCUAAUUAACCCUUUAUGUCCCAUUGCAAGUUGGUGCAUUUUUUUCGUUCCAAGUUAAAGGUCUCUGCCUCUUUAAGAAAUGCUAAAAGUAACAGUUGGAGUAGUUAACAGCUGUUGGUAGCACUGUGGUGUUCUGUGAUCCGGUGGAGCCAAGGGGAAAAAAGCAGGAGCAAUCGUUUUAUUCUCAUCCAGUACAGUAGUAUCAACUUUCCCUGUCGUUUCUUCGUUGUGAAGACUUCAAGCUAAACCCGAUCUUUACGCUUGUGAUCUUAUUUUAUUUUAUGAAUUACUAAAAUGGAAUUCUGUAGAUUUUUCUCCCAGUUAUCUUCAUAAUGCAGACAGGCUGAAUGAAUAUUAAUGGUUUCAGGGCGUCAAAUCUGCUGGACUCAGUUUGGAAGGCUAACGGGUGAACAGGCAGACUUAUUUCUUCGUACAUGGGAAGCCGACAUGUACCAAAACUCAAAGACAUGAACAAAGAUCUACUACCUCCUGUUGGUGCAAGUCAUCUUGGCAUCAAGACUACAAUGACAUACCUUCUGGAUUUUGUGGUGAUUAACAUUGCUCUGCUUCAAGAAGUCAUCAUCCCCACAUGAUCUACAUCUGUGACCUGAAUAAAGAUUGUCCUCAGUUAUAGAAGGCUAAGAAAUUUGACUGCUUUUAUGUUAUUCUUAACAUAAAAGAAUAACAGAGGGAUUGGUGACACAUUAUGACACCAAUACCAAGAACCACAAAGUCAUCCUCACCAAGAAUAACUAAGUCACCAUCCCUCUACAUCUGGUCUCAUGAAUGCUAUGGACAAGUUUUUCAAACUCUCCUUGGUGCGUCCUGACCACCACAACUCUACCCCCGUCUUUACGUUACAUAUUUACAAUAAACUGUUUUCCAUACGAAGUAAAGUACAAGUACUGGAACUGAUUGGACAAUCAGAAGCUGGCAAGUAAAAUGUUCAAUUGUCCAAAACGUAAAGACUGCUUUCGAAGAGGUGUGGGGCUUCAAGAUACAAUAUCUUGUACUUUGGUUGACGACUACUGGACUGUAAAUGCAUGUUUCCAUUUGACUGCAAAACAGAUUGUUAUUUCUCAUCAGCUCUUUUGUAGCCAAGUGUUUUUUGUACCUGUUCACAGAAUGUUAUGAAAAAUAUAUGAUACAGAGAGUAAGGAUUUUAAAACCUGUGGUGUUAAAAUCCUUAACACCACAGGUUAAGGAUUUAGUAACUUUUCUUCAAAGUUAGCUCGACUUUGAAGACAAUAACAUGUUGACUGGUGAACUAAUUGAUUAUAUGAUUUUUACUUGUGCAUAUGAUUUACAUAUUGUGGCUGUCGUAAAACAUUUUUGUAACAUGUAUUUAAUUUUAAUAAACGUAUGCAUCUUUA